UGGAAAAUCUAAGCACCUGCUGAACUGAUUGGCAAAAAGGAAGCAAGGAGGGGAGCUUAUCUCUACUCAGCAAAAGCUUUCUUCAACAGUGCUCAUUUUACUUCUGUGAUGUGAUUGAUUGAGAACUUCAUCCGGCUCCUAGGGAUGUUUUUCCUUUGUCUUCAAAAGUCCAGAAGGAGAUCUCAGCUCCCCAGGGUCAUGAGGCAGGGCAAGUUUUCUUACAGUCUCCAGAAGAUCUCAUCUGGAGUCUUCACUAUCUGACUGAUUUGCCACUGAGAACUCCUACAAAAGGAAAUACUUUUCCCAACAAAAGUGCAAGCAGUUGAAGAAAGCCUAAAACCUACAGAAGAGCAUCAUUCAUCUGGCUUUUCAGGGUCACUGAUGGAGAAACUGGAGACCUCGAGUGAAUGGAAACUGAGCAUGGUUCUGCUGGAAGCCACCUCAGGGAACUGUGGCCACUCCAAGAGCAUCAGUUUUGUUCCAUCUCACUUCAUCUCUAGAGCAGGGUAGCAUCAUGCCAUGCUGCAUGUCUGAUGUAUGUCAGCAGCCAUGAGCAGUGGGUCACCUAAUGGAAGGGCUGUUGUGGUGCUAAUGUGAUGGGUGCAGGAGAAAUGAUGGGUUUGGUGACAUGCAGGUGAGUGAGGAACCUACUAGAUGUCUUAUCACCAGUUCUAAGGGCUCUCUUCUCCAGGACCCACAUUCAGGUAACUGGCAAAAUUAAAGAUUAUGCUGAUCAGCUGCUGCUGGCACAUGAAGUCUCUGAACUGGACGGAUAUUGAAGCUGGAAAGGCAGAAGCAGGGAGCAUAGAGGGUAGCUCAAUCACAAGUUUUGUGCCUGGUGUGGCACAACGAAGUAUGGGAUAUAUGGCAAAACCAGUGACAGGCAUUACACUUACAAGACUAAUUACUGAAAUAACUCUCCCUCCUUGAAUCCAUGUCUGAAUGUAGGAACAGCUCUGGAUCAACCCAGAGAUCCACCUCACCUAGAGCAUCAGCUGGUUCCUAUGGGGGGAACGUAACAAAAUGGCAGAUCUUGUUUAGUUUUAUGGCCCAAAGUUAAGAGAAAUGCUUGGCAGAAGUGGUUUGGUCUGAACCCAACAGGGAAGGAGGUGCACUGAGGGCAUGAUAUGAAAAAAUCUGCAUUUGUGCUCUUAAACCCUUUCACCUCCAGAAGAGGGCAUCCCCUUCCCAUCUGCCUUUUGGAUUCAGGCCCUGAAACAUUCAAAUUCCUGAAGAACACCCAGGAGUGGGUUGGGUAGGUGAUGUGUGACCAUGUCUAAAACUGUGCCAGGAAGUGUUCUAACACUUUACCACUAUUUAGAUGGAGUUGUAUGCCUGGGGAAAGUCCUUGGACAAUCAACUUAGUAAAUUUGCUGCAACCAUCCAACCUUGGAGCUGUGAAAGGGAAAAGACCAGCCCUCAAUUCUGCACCUCUUCAGCUCCAUCAGGUUUCACGUGGUUGGUAUGAGAAGCCCAGCUGCCUUUUCAUCAGCAUUCCCCACUGCUAGCUCAGUGUGGUUGCAUACUGAACAAACAAAAGCCUAUGUCCCAAACCUCUGAGAUACAAACUAGUAUCUAAUGUGCAGCCAGCCAGUGGAGAUCAUCACUUAUACCUCCUUUCCUUCUCCAGCCUUGUGGCUGCAGAAUGGUUUUAUGGCCACGCAGAGCUUAGCUUUCAAAUUCUGUGGGUGUGUGUACACAGUAACACCUUAAUGUAGAAGAUUCACUCCUUUUCAUUCUCGUUGAGUAUCUACCAAAAUUUCUGAGGCCACUCCUUUUGUAUCCUUGCCCCUCCAGAAUAUGCUGGGUCUGAAGAACGUGCACUUGAGAUGUGAAGACCUCUGCUUCUCUGCCCUUUCACCCAACACAGGGCAGCAGCUGGAACACGUAGGCCACGACACAGAAAAAGAUGAAGGUUCGAUAUCAGUAAGAAUGGAGUUCACCAGGUGUAUGGGGACCACAUAUGAAACAGCAGUUUGGUCCUUUUGUUGUGCAGAAUAAAAGAAAGCAACGUUUCUCCAAGAACUAUAGAGUGUUGUUACAUUUACAAUUGACAGCAUAUUGUUUACCAAAAGACCCCUUGGUUGCUUGCAGUUAAAGGAUUAAGGAUCUGCAGGCCAAACAAACUGUUGUAUAUGGGAAGGAUGAUAUUUCUGAAAAAAGACUUUGGCUAAGUCUUUGGCUUAGUGUCAAUUCCUGCUCUGCAAAUUCAACAGUUAAUCCAUCCACAAGUGGGGCUGAAAAAAGAGCAAGCUCCUGAGAUCUUGAGCUCCAGAGAGAUCAGGGUGGCUUUGUGCAGCGAUUGGAAUUUAACAGCUUCAUUGUCUGGUGGAAAUGUGAGUGUCACCAGGAGAUGGGCCCAAACCAAGAGCCUCUGCAGCCAAUUGAAAGGGGUUCAUUAUUUUCAUCAGCAUCCUUAGAAUAAAAACAAAUAUGGGAAGGAUGCUCUUGCAAUCAGGACUCAGCCUGUAAGAUUUCCUGAAUUUGAACCCUGUCAAAAAUAAUAAUAAUAGAGGCAAAUAAUUUUUUUAAAAGGCAGAAA